rnacentral:rRNA from 1 species
UACGGGAGGCAGCAGUGGGGAAUAUUGGACAAUGGGCGAAAGCCUGAUCCAGCCAUGCCGCGUGUGUGAAGAAGGUCUUCGGAUUGUAAAGCACUUUAAGUUGGGAGGAAGGGCAGUAAGCUAAUACCUUGCUGUUUUGACGUUACCGACAGAAUAAGCACCGGCUAACUCUGUG